AUGUUCCGUAGGCGACGAAACCUGACUAAAAUGGAAGGCUCCAAGGAAAUUGUUUCGGGAUCCUCGUGGAAAUGUCAACUGCAUCUUCCGGACAUUCAUGGAUUGUACUGGGUCAGGGUGCGAAUGGUCAGUGGAACCAGGGUAUCCAAUUGGACUCUCUCCAAUGAGUUACAGCCCUACAGAGACACAAUCUUGGGCCCUCCUCUCCUGUCUCUCAAGCUCAAUAAUCUGCAACUUCAAGUGAACGUCUCCUUGCCACUCACUUCCUACCGAAGGAGAGAUGGCUCGUUCAAGUCAGUUAAGGAUGUGAAAGUGAACGUGGAGUACAAGGUGGUGCUGUGUGAGGUGGACACCUUGAUCUGCACAACCAAGACCUGCAAACACAAUGCGAAAAUCACUUGCUUCCAGUUUAACUUCCUGAGACCAAACUGUCAGUACUGUAUUAGCAGCAGAGUGGAAGGCCACCAAAGCAAAGAGGCUAAACUCUGCAUCAGGACUCAGUUCAAGCCAAUAGGCUUGGAAUGGGUCGUCAUAAUUGUACUGACGGUCCUGGUAGUGCUGGUGCUGUUGGGGUGGAUCGUGUUCUUCUUCCUCAAGCGCUACGUGCAUCCCUGCCAAGCCGAAGCCCAGAUUCCCCGAAUACUGGCAACUUUCAAAGAAGAACUAAACGCGGACCUGCCCUGUGAGGAACCUGAAGUAGAAGCGAAUUCAGUCUUUCUGCUCUCGCCUGUCGAGAUCGUCUCGGCCGGAGAGGGUACCACCAAGCGACCGAGUUCCCCGAGCCAGGAGCUUUCAGGAAUCUACAAGGUCGACGGCGGGGCUGAAGACUAUCAGGAUAACGGGGUGGAUCCAGGCUACUCGGAGGCCUCUUCCAGGAAGACGGAUAGUUCAGAAGCUCUAGAUUUUGAAGCUUCCCCGGAGGCACCGAACUCGGCGAUCGGCGGCCAUCUCAGGCGUCUCCAUUGCUUUCCCCCACACCGGCGUCCGACUACGGAAGCGAGCAGCCUCCACCCGGGGGCCGGACCGCUAGACGCGAUGACCAAAGAGGCCUCCGCUGACGAAAGGGAUCACCGGGCCGAACCGACCUGGCAUAACAUUCCUCUGGCUUCUGUGAAAUUGCAAGGAGGUCAAGAGGCUGGGGACUGCCUUGGGCCUCUGAGAAGACUGUGUGAGACUGAGGCUAACGGGUCAAGCCGGGAAAGCUUAGAAGAUGUGGAAAAUGAUCCUGGCGGGUCCCUACCCGCGGGCCGUGACCAGCCUGGCCUGCCAGAUUUGCCAGGUUCCUCGGCAGCCUGGCACGUUUUCAAGAAGAGCGCUCGGAGAGAUGCAUUUUCCGGUGCUGAUGUGUGCUCUGGCCGUGCUGUCGCCCACCGGCCCAACCGACGCCUACCGGGUGGACUUGGAGACGGACGGGCUGGAAGAUUUCAACUUGGACAGCCCAGCAGGGUUUGUACCAGACAACACACCUUCCUCGGGACCAUCCAGGAACGUGAACUCAGCUCUCUCGGUGCCGGAGGAGGGAAUGAGCCCAUUUCAAAAGGCCGGCCAGUGGAAGGGUGGCAAGGCGUCUCUUCAGGAGGAAACGCCGGAUGAACUG
rnacentral:lncRNA from 1 species